GAUGAACGCUGGCGGCGUGCUUAACACAUGCAAGUCGAACGGGAAACCUUUUAUUGAAGCUUCGGCAGAUUUAGCUGGUUUCUAGUGGCGGCCGGGUGAGUAACGCGUGGGUAACCUGCCUUAUACAGGGGGAUAACAGUCAGAAAUGGCUGCUAAUACCGCAUAAGCGCACAGAGCUGCAUGGCUCAGUGUGAAAAACUCCGGUGGUAUAAGAUGGACCCGCGUUGGAUUAGCUGGUUGGUGGGGUAACGGCCCACCAAGGCGACGAUCCAUAGCCGGCCUGAGAGGGUGAACGGCCACAUUGGGACUGAGACACGGCCCAGACUCCUACGGGAGGCAGCAGUGGGGAAUAUUGCACAAUGGGGGAAACCCUGAUGCAGCGACGCCGCGUGAAGGAAGAAGUAUCUCGGUAUGUAAACUUCUAUCAGCAUGGAAGAUAAUGACGGUACCUGACUAAGAAGCCCCGGCUAACUACGUG
rnacentral:rRNA from 1 species